UGGGGCGUCGUCAAGUGGUAAGACACUGGGUUUUGGUCCCAGCACCGCAGGUUCGAAUCCUGCCGCCCUAGCAA
rnacentral:tRNA from 1 species